GACGAACGCUGGCGGCGCGCUUAACACAUGCAAGUCGAGCGAGAACCAGGGCUUCGGCCCUGGGGAAAGCGGCGAACGGGUGAGUAACACGUGGGUAAUCUGCCCUCGGUUUCGGGAUAGCCCGGGGAAACCCGGAUUAAUACCGAAUGGCCCUUCAGCUCUUCGGAGCGGCAGGGAAAGGUAGCUUCGGCCUCCGACCGAGGAUGAGCCCGCGGCGGAUUAGCUUGUUGGUGGGGUAACGGCCCACCAAGGCGACGAUCCGUAGCUGGUCUGAGAGGACGAUCAGCCACACUGGGACUGAGACACGGCCCAGACUCCUACGGGAGGCAGCAGUGGGGAAUCUUGCGCAAUGGGCGAAAGCCUGACGCAGCGACGCCGCGUGCGGGAAGAAGGCCUUCGGGUUGUAAACCGCUUUCAGGAGGGGCGAAGCCACUCGGGUUAAUAGCCCAGAGGGUGACGGUACUUCCAGAAGAAGUCCCGGCUAACUACGUGCCAGCAGCCGCGGUAA
rnacentral:rRNA from 1 species